GAUGAACGCUGGCGGCGUGCCUAAUACAUGCAAGUCGAGCGAAUGGAUUAAGAGCUUGCUCUUAUGAAGUUAGCGGCGGACGGGUGAGUAACACGUGGGUAACCUGCCCAUAAGACUGGGAUAACUCCGGGAAACCGGGGCUAAUACCGGAUAACAUUUUGAACCGCAUGGUUCGAAAUUGAAAGGAGGAUUCGGCGGUCACUUAUGGAUGGACCCGCGUCGCAUUAGCUAGUUGGUGAGGUAACGGCUCACCAAGGCAACGAUGCGUAGCCGACCUGAGAGGGUGAUCGGCCACACUGGGACUGAGACACGGCCCAGACUCCUACGGGAGGCAGCAGUAGGGAAUCUUCCGCAAUGGACGAAAGUCUGACGGAGCAACGCCGCGUGAGUGAUGAAGGCUUUCGGGUCGUAAAACUCUGUUGUUAGGGAAGAACAAGUGCUAGUUGAAUAAGUUGGCACCUUGACGGUACCUAACCAGAAAGCCACGGCUAACUACGUGCCAGCCGCCGCAGUAA
rnacentral:rRNA from 1 species